rfam:Lupinus angustifolius cultivar Tanjil contig_20580, whole genome shotgun sequence.
GUGUUCUGGAUGAUGAUAAAAAUAUUUUUACAGUUAUCCCUGACAUAGAAUAUAUGUGCUGAAAAUAUUUAAUCUGACACCCAC